AGACCAAUAAAUUAUUUCUGUAAAUACUGUCACACCUGCAAGUGCAACUGAUUAACGUUACGAGGAACUUUGGUGUGAGCAACAUCACAACCCGGGAUGACUGGCCAGUUUGAAAGGAGCUAGUAUGAGCUAACAUUAGCUGCUGUUUCCCGCAGAUAUGCGGCUUUAACAGACGACAUCUUGGAGGAAGAGGAACGUUCUAGAGAUAAACUGAGAGAACUUCUUCUCUGUGCUGGAGCUCUGAGGCAGACCUCCUCAGCAGUGGACUGAAAAGCUGUCAGAGAGGUUCAAAUGCAAAGGGAGCCGGUGGAGAAGCAGCAUCGCUCGCAUUUUGUAAAGCACCUGCUGCACUGCGGCAGUCCCGGUUCGGUGCCCAUGAUACCCCGGCACCUGGAGCAUAAUUCCCACUGAAGUGGAUGAGGAGGGGAGCUGUGUCCUCCUCUACUCCUGAAAGACCUGUAAGAUGGGGCUUAUGGGGAAAAAAACCCUCCUCCCAGCUGGGGUCUUUUACUUAAAGAUGCAUUUGCUGCAUUACACCAGGCGCCGCCUGGAGAUAAACUAUUUUGUAAUAUUA